rnacentral:rRNA from 1 species
UACGUAGGGUGCGAGCGUUGUCCGGAAUUAUUGGGCGUAAAGGGCUCGUAGGCGGUCUGUUACGUCGGGAGUGAAAACUCGGGGCUCAACCCCGAGCCUGCUUCCGAUACGGGCAGACUAGAGGUAUGCAGGGGAGAAUGGAAUUCCUGGUGUAGCGGUGAAAUGCGCAGAUAUCAGGAGGAACACCAAUGGCGAAGGCAGCUCGCUGGAACGGUACUGACGCUGAGGCGCGAAAGCGUGGGGAGCAAACAGG